CGGGAAUUUUGGGCAAUGGGCGAAAGCCUGACCCAGCAACGCCGCGUGAGGGAUGAAGUAUUUCGGUAUGUAAACCUCGAAAGAAUGGGAAGAAUAAAUGACGGUACCAUUUAUAAGCUCCGGCUAACUACGUGCCAGCAGCCGCGGUACUACGUAGGGAGCAAGCGUUGUUCGGAUUUACUGGGCGUAAAGGGCGCGUAGGCGGCGCGGUAAGUCACUUGUGAAAUCUCUGAGCUUAACUCAGAACGGCCAAGUGAUACUGCUGUGCUAGAGUGCGGAAGAGGCAACCGGAAUUCUUGGUGUAGCGGUGAAAUGCGUAGAUAUCAAGAGGAACACCUGAGGCGAAGGCGGGUUGCUGGGCCGACACUGACGCUGAUGCUCGAAAGCCAGGGGAGCAAACG
rnacentral:rRNA from 1 species